rnacentral:lncRNA from 10 species
GGAACUGUCAGAGAUGGUGGACCAGGUUAUAUGUAUUUUGAAACAGGAAAUCUCGCCAUCCUCACCAAAGCCAUUUCCUUGAGAGGAUUUUAUCUGGUUUGUCUCCUUGACUCCAGGCAGGGCUCCAUUCCAACCAGAUGGAAGAAUGCAGACAUCUCACAUCAUUUACACCCAGAAGGCUGUCAGCAGCAGCGCUCAGGGAGUGAGAGUGUUUAAUCUCGAGGAGGAAAUAGAAUGUAUACACACCCUGCAAACUGAGAUGUUUUACGUUGGCUCUGGCUCCUACCGCCCCCCAUGUGUGGCAGCAGCUACCAAGACUCUACUGUGAAUCCCCAUGACUGCAAUGAGAAUGAACAAAAUGAACAACCUGCAGCAACAUGAAUGGACCUCACAAGGAUAAUGUUGAACAUAAGAAGCCAGGCACAAAAGAGUGCAUAUUUUUGUGUCUGACUCCAUUACAUGAAGUUCAAGAAGAAGAAACAUUAAUGUAUGGUUUUGGAAGGCAGGAUGUGGGGAGGUAGUUGGGGCAUGAGGAGGUUUUGGGGGUACAGGGUGGUGGCAGUGUUUUGCUUCUGGUUCUGGGGGAUGGCUAAGUGUGUGUUCAUUUCAUGUAAGUUCAUAUGCAUUUGUGCAAUUGCCUGUAAAGUUGUCAUACUUCGAUAAUAUUAAAAAUAUGAAAAAUAAAAAUAUAAAGCCCAUAUGGGAGAGCACACUUCUCUGCAUUUUUUUUGCACUUUGGCGAUGAGCUGACAGAGGGGUUGUUAACAAGCACCCUACUUGCUCACUGUGCUUGGUAGGAUCCUCAACCUAGCGAGUCCCACCCCAUUCC